GAUGAAGAACGUAGCGAAAUGCGAUACUUGGUGUGAAUUGCAGAAUCCCGUGAACCAUCGAGUCUUUGAACGCAAGUUGCGCCUCAAGCCAUUAGGUUGAGGGCACGUCUGCCUGGGCGUCACAUAUCGUUGCCUGAUGCCAGUUUCCUCGUGAUGGGUGACUGUGCAGGGCGAAUGAUGGCUUCCCGUGAGCAUUGUUGCCUCAUGGUUGGUUGAAAAUUGAGUCCUUGGUAGGGAGCGCCGUGAUAGAUGGUGGUUGAGUGACGAACGAGACCCAAUCAUGUGAGACCCCUACCGAAUUUGGCCUUCAUGACCCACAUGCGUCUUUGGAACGCUCAUGACGAGACCUCAGGUCAGGCGUGGCUACCCGCUGAGUUUAAGCAUAUCAAUAAGCGGAGGA
rnacentral:misc_RNA from 1 species